GAUGAACGCUGGCGGCGUGCUUAACACAUGCAAGUCGAACGAUGAAGCCCAGCUUGCUGGGUGGAUUAGUGGCGAACGGGUGAGUAACACGUGAGUAACCUGCCCUUAACUCUGGGAUAAGCCUGGGAAACUGGGUUUAAUACCGGAUAGGAGCGUCCACCGCAUGGUGGGUGUUGGAAAGAUUUAUCGGUUUUGGAUGGACUCGCGGCCUAUCAGCUUGUUGGUGAGGUAAUGGCUCACCAAGGCGACGACGGGUAGCCGGCCUGAGAGGGUGACCGGCCACACUGGGACUGAGACACGGCCCAGACUGCUACGGGAGGCAGCAGUGGGGAAUAUUGCACAAUGGGCGCAAGCCUGAUGCAGCGACGCCGCGUGAGGGAUGACGGCCUUCGGGUUGUAAACCUCUUUCAGUAGGGAAGAAGCGAAAGUGACGGUACCUGCAGAAGAAGCACCGGCUAACUACGUG
rnacentral:rRNA from 1 species